rnacentral:lncRNA from 1 species
GAAAUUUAAAACAAAAGCACUUAAACUGAUACAGGGCAAAAAACAGUCGGUUGUUUAGAGAAUUUAACCGGUUGUUUUUCCUUUAAUUAUUCUUGCCAUACUGGAGUUCAAAGAUAUGAUUCUGAACAACUUCAAUCUAUUCAUCCAAGGUCAUAAACCGAGUAUCCAUGUUGUUGAAUCUGUUGUUUAUAUUCUGGAAAUUGCUCACACAUAAAUCAUGGAGAUUUCUUUGAUUCUCGGAAAAGCUAUCAAGCCUAUUCACCAUGUAUCUUUCAAAAGAAGACAUGGAUGGCAUUUCAUCUCCUUGAUCUCCUGCACUGGUUCCAACACCAAAAAUUGUGGUAGGUUGUUCUUCAUGGAGAAUAUCCAUGUCAGUAGCUUGAUCUUCUUCAUCAAAAUCAACAGUUGCGGCACUUGAUGAACCACCAUGAUCACCAUCUUUGCUCACCCAUUUUCCAUUUAUUUUGGUGAAUCCCAUCUUGCUUAGAGAGCCAUUGUUCAAGAUGCAGAGAUCUCAUCUUCAAGAUUCACUUCAAAAUAGAGCAAGAAUUUAGAGAUUAAAACAACAUAGGGAUAAUGGUAAUCCCUUAACCUCAUGGAUUUUUGCAUGUGUUCUUUAAUGAUAUGGAUCCAGUUGAUCUUGAUCUUCUUCAUGAUGCAGUAGAUGUAUACAAGGUCUUCCUCUGUUAAGACAAAAUGGUUGCUCCCCCUUGGAGUAAGAAUCCAAGUUACAAUAAGAGCAAACACCCUUUCAUCCAGCUUUAAGCCUCCAACCGAACAAGUUCUCACUUGGGCUUGUUGAUUCUUCAAGCAACUCUUGUAGUAUUGGACUUUGUUAAAAUCCUCCACUACUCCAAGAUUUCCCUUGUUGAUCCUUAGACCAGCAUAUUUCAGGCCAGCUAUAGCAGUCCACACAUCGUGAGUGAUCUCCAUGUCAACACCCUUCACAUAAGAAACAAGAUUGUUUCCUUCAAACUUGAGAUUGGUGUAGAAUACCCGAAUCAAAUCAGGGUAUAUGUUUCCCUUCAUCUCCAAGAACCUUCUCAGCAGCUGGUCCUUGAGAAGUUUCCUCACAUUGUCUAGCUUUUGGCUUUUCGGCCAAUCAAAGAAAACAACUUUGGGGUUGUUG